GCACAGUGAUUCUUGGGAAGGAAAAUG
rnacentral:piRNA from 1 species